AUUGAACGCUGGCGGCAGGCCUAACACAUGCAAGUCGAGCGGAUGAAGGGAGCUUGCUCCUGGAUUCAGCGGCGGACGGGUGAGUAAUGCCUAGGAAUCUGCCUGGUAGUGGGGGAUAACGUCCGGAAACGGGCGCUAAUACCGCAUACGUCCUGAGGGAGAAAGUGGGGGAUCUUCGGACCUCACGUUAUCAGAUGAGCCUAGGUCGGAUUAGCUAGUUGGUGGGGUAAAGGCCUACCAAGGCGACGAUCCGUAACUGGUCUGAGAGGAUGAUCAGUCACACUGGAACUGAGACACGGUCCAGACUACUAAGGGAGGCAGCAGUGGGGAAUAUUGGACAAUGGGCGAAAGCCUGAUCCAGCCAUGCCGCGUGUGUGAAGAAGGUCUUCGGAUUGUAAAGAACUUUAAGUUGGGAGGAAGGGCAGUAAGUUAAUACCUUGCUGUUUUGACGUUACCAACAGAAUAAGCACCGGCUAACUUCGUG
rnacentral:rRNA from 1 species